rnacentral:rRNA from 1 species
ACCCCUACGGGGGGCAGCAGUGAGGAAUAUUGGUCAAUGGACGAGAGUCUGAACCAGCCAAGUAGCGUGAAGGAUGACUGCCCUAUGGGUUGUAAACUUCUUUUAUAUGGGAAUAAAAUGUUCCACGUGUGGGAUUUUGUAUGUACCAUAUGACUAUGGCUCGGCUAACUCCGUGCCAGCAGCCGCGGUAAUACGGAGGUUCCGAGCGUUAUCCGGAUUUAUUGGGUUUAAAGGGAGCGUAGGUGGAUUGUUAAGUCAGUUGUGAAAGUUUGCGGCUCUACCGUACAAUUGCAGUU